rnacentral:lncRNA from 1 species
AACAAGAUUCUUACAUGAAAACCCUCAGAGAAAUUAUCACCAAAAAUAAACCAGAAAAAAAAAAUUACAAUCCUCUUGGCUAUCUCUUAAUAUAUCUGUUUCUAUUUGUGGUUUUCAGGCACCUCCAUUUCUCUGUCUUCAACUGAUAAAUGGCUGGGUCAUUCAGCUGUCCACUUACCGGGAAGGAAGUUUCAAUCUCAUUAUGCCAACAAACACACUGCCUGCUUCUCUUUUAUUGUUGGGAUGCUCCCAACAGUCAGUCUUUAGCACUCUGAGGAGAUGGAAUCUCCAGUAAACUGCAAGAGGAAGAACAUAAAUAUGAGCAUGUGGGAUGUCAUCUUCCAGGGGACUUGUAGACAAACAGCUUCCCUAAUAAAGGAAGGGCAAAGAGAAACUCCUGAAAAUGUGGGUUGAAGACCAGAAG